CCAUUUCUUUAAGAAAGUAAGAUCCCUGAGAGAAGAUCAGGUAGAUAGGUCAGGAGUGGAAGUGCAGUGAUGUACGGAGCGGACUGAUACUAAUCGAUCGAGGACUUAACCAAAA
rnacentral:rRNA from 1 species